rnacentral:rRNA from 1 species
AACCUCCGCAAUGUGAGAAAUCGCGACGGGGGGAUCCCAAGUGCCAUUCUUAACGGGAUGGCUUUUCAUUAGUGUAAAGAGCUUUUGGAAUAAGGGCUGGGCAAGACCGGUGCCAGCCGCCGCGGUAACACCGGCAGCUCUAGUGGUAGCAGUUUUUAUUGGGCCUAAAGCGUCCGUAGCCGGUUUAAUAAGUCUCUGGUGAAAUCCUGCAGCUUAACUGUGGGAAUUGCUGGAGAUACUAUUAGACUUGAGACCGGGAGAGGUUAGAGGUACUCCCAGGGUAGAGGUGAAAUUCUGUAAUCCUGGGAGGACCGCCUGUUGCGAAGGCGUCUAACUGGAACGGUUCUGACGGUGAGGGACGAAAGUUAGGGGCGCGAACCGGAUUAGAUACCCGGGUAGUCCUAACCGUAAACGAUGCGGACUUGGUGUUGGGGUGGCUUUGAGCUGCUCCAGUGCCGAAGGGAAGCUGUUAAGUCCGCCGCCUGGGAAGUACGGUCGCAAGACUGAAACUUAAAGGAAUU